AGGGAGAUUGCCCUCGAGUGAAAAGGCAUAAGGGAGCUCGAUUUCAAGACUUAUCCUUUGAGCAUGGAUGAAAAUUGACUUGAGU
rnacentral:rRNA from 1 species